rnacentral:rRNA from 1 species
CAGCAGCCGCGGUAAUACGUAGGGUGCAAGCGUUAAUCGGAAUUACUGGGCGUAAAGCGUGCGCAGGCGGUUAUAUAAGACAGAUGUGAAAUCCCCGGGCUCAACCUGGGAACUGCAUUUGUGACUGUAUAGCUAGAGUACGGCAGAGGGGGAUGGAAUUCCGCGUGUAGCAGUGAAAUGCGUAGAUAUGCGGAGGAACACCGAUGGCGAAGGCAAUCCCAUGGGCCUGUACUGACGCUCAUGCACGAAAGCGUGGGGAGCAAACAGGAUUAGAUACCCCUGUAGUCCCUGUCUCUUAUAC